CCUACGGGAGGCUGCAGUAGGGAAUAUUGGACAAUGGAGGCAACUCUGAUCCAGCCAUCCCGCGUGAAGGAUUAAGGCCCUAUGGGUUGUAAACUUCUUUUCUCUGGGAAUAAAAACCGGGAUUUAUCCUGGCUUGAAGGUACCAGAGGAAUAAGCACCGGCUAACUCCGUGCCAGCAGCCGCGGUAAUACGGAGGGUGCAAGCGUUAUCCGGAUUCACUGGGUUUAAAGGGUGCGUAGGUGGUUUUGUAAGUCAGUGGUGAAAGCCCGGAGCUC
rnacentral:rRNA from 1 species